AGGCAAGAUCCUGGGAAAAAUCUUGUAAACCCACCCCUUUACCAGGAUACUGUAGGAACUUCUUUGGUCCCAAAAGGCCAGGCGAUUUCCCUUUUACGGAGAUCAAAACCUCUCUUUCCAGUAAUAUUACGCAGUGGGACUUCAUAUGGGUAAGACCUAUGGGUUCAUUAGAGCAGGAAGGUAGUCCGGACUUAAAGGAACCCCUAGUUGCCCCCACAGACACCCCAGUGGGGCCAUUAGCUCCAUAAUUUUUUACUCCCAUGAUACCC